rnacentral:snoRNA from 1 species
AUCCCUUUUUAGUUCAUAAGCAUGAUAAUUGUGUGUUCACACACUUGUGUGACUUGUGCCUCCCUUAAAUCUUGUUAUGUACUUGGCACUUGGCACAUUACCCAUCUGACA